AUGAAGCUGGAAUUGCUAGUAAUCACAGGUCAGCAUACUGUGGUGAAUACGUUCCCGGGCCUUGUACACACCGCCCGUCACACCAUGAGAGUUGAGAAUACCCGAAGCCUGUGAGCUAACUUAUAGAGGCAGCAGUCGAAGGUAGAAUCAAUGAUUGGGGUGAAGUCGUAACAAGGUAAC
rnacentral:rRNA from 1 species